rnacentral:rRNA from 1 species
AUUGAACGCUGGCGGCAUGCCUUACACAUGCAAGUCGAACGGUAACAGGUCUUCGGAUGCUAACGAGUGGCGAACGGGUGAGUAAUACAUCGGAACGUGCCCGAUCGUGGGGGAUAACGAGGCGAAAGCUUUGCUAAUACCGCAUACGAUCUACGGAUGAAAGCGGGGGAUCUUCGGACCUCGCGCGGACGGAGCGGCCGAUGGCAGAUUAGGUAGUUGGUGGGAUAAAAGCUUACCAAGCCGACGAUCUGUAGCUGGUCUGAGAGGAUGAUCAGCCACACUGGGACUGAGACACGGCCCAGACUCCUACGGGAGGCAGCAGUGGGGAAUUUUGGACAAUGGGCGAAAGCCUGAUCCAGCCAUGCCGCGUGCAGGAUGAAGGCCUUUGGGUUGUAAACUGCUUUUGUACGGAACGAAAAGCCUCUUUCUAAUAAAGAGGGGUCAUGACGGUACCGUAAGAAUAAGCACCGGCUAACUACGUG